AACGAACGCUGGCGGCAGGCUUAACACAUGCAAGUCGAACGCAUCGCAAGAUGAGUGGCAGACGGGUGGGUAACGCGUGGGAACAUACCCUUUUCUACGGAAUAGCUCUGGGAAACUGGAAUUAAUACCGUAUACGCCCUACGGGGGAAAGAUUUAUCGGGGAAGGAUUGGCCCGCGUUGGAUUAGCUAGUUAGUGGGGUAAAGGCCUACCAAGGCGACGAUCCAUAGCUGGUUUGAGAGGAUGAUCAGCCACAUUGGGACUGAGACACGGCCCAAACUCCUUCGGGAGGCAGCAGUAUGGAAUAUUGGACUAUGGGCGCAAGCCUGAUCCAGCCAUGCCGCGUGAGUGAUGGAGGCCUUAGGGUUGUAAAGCUCUUUCACCGAUGAAGAUAAUGACGGUAGUCGGAGAAGAAGCCCCGGAUAACUUCGUGCCAGCCGCCGCCGUAAGAC
rnacentral:rRNA from 1 species